GGGAAGGUAGCUCAGUGGUAGAGUGCUUGCCUUGCAUGCAUGAGGCCCUGGGUUCGAUUCCUUAGCACCACCU
rnacentral:tRNA from 1 species